AUGCCUUGGAGUUAUGGAGACAGAAGUCAGAAUACAGCAGGUUGAGAAGUAACUCGUCAAGAACAGUGAUUUGCAGCUAACAGAUGGUCAACUAAUUUUCAUUGGAUUCAAAUGAAUAGAACUCAGCUCCAACUUUGACAUUUUUAUCACCCCAGUGGAAUGCCUGGUUUUCAUUUGCAAAGCACACCUCACUUUUACAAGUGAAGCAUCAUGGACUAAGUAGAACAUGCGAAUCUAACAACCAGCCUCCUUUAUUGUUUUGACUCCGUAUUUCCAUAGACC
rnacentral:lncRNA from 1 species